UACGUAGGGGGCAAGCGUUUGUCCGGAUUUAUUGGGCGUAAAGAGCGUGUAGGCGGCCUGACAAGUCUGCUGUGAAAACUCGAGGCUCAACCUCGAGAUGUCGGCGGAAACUGUCUGGCUAGAGUCCGGAAGAGGAGAGUGGAAUUCCUGGUGUAGCGGUGAAAUGCGCAGAUAUCAGGAAGAACACCUAUGGCGAAGGCAGCUCUCUGGGACGGUACUGACGCUGAGACGCGAAAGCGUGGGGAGCGAACAGG
rnacentral:rRNA from 1 species